CCCCUCCUUCACUCCUUCCUGAGAGUACAUACUGUAUAUUGUAUAUAUACCAUAACACAUCUUACAGGCUCCAAACUAAUGUCUACUCAAAGUUCACAACUUAUCAGGACUAUUUAGAGUUGUACAUUCAAUGCUGAGUUUUCCUUCCUGUCUUUGUAGGCUACCCAGAGUAGGUUGCUGGGAACUGAGUGGGACCGUACGCAUGGCAGAGAGUUUCCAGAACUGACAGAAGCCAGGCAGUAGGCAUGACGUUUUACACACCCACAACAGAAACCUUCAGGACUGUCAAGAGUCCCGUGUAACUCAGCAAAUAGAGCCUGUGUACCUGGUAGAGCCUCUGUAGCUCAGUAGGUUGAGCCUGUGUCACUGGUAGAGCCCCUGUAGCUCAGUAGGUUGAGCCUGUGUAGCUCAGUAGGUAGAGUCUGUGUCGCUGGUAGAGCCCCUGUAGCUCAGUAGGUAGAGUCUGUGUAGCUCAGUAGGUAGAGUCUGUGUCGCUGGUAGAGCCCCUGUAGCUCAGUAGGUAGAGCCUGUGUUGCUCAGUAGGUAGAGCCUGUGUUGCUGGUAGAGCACCUGUGGCUCAGUAGGUAGAGUCUGUGUAGCUCAGUAGGUAGAGCCUGUGUCGCUGGUAGAGCCCCUGUAGCUCAGUAGGUUGAGCCUGUGUCGCUGGUAGAGCCCCUGUAGCUCAGUAGGUAGAGUCUGUGUAGCUCAGUAGGUAGAGCCUGUGUCGCUGGUAGAGCCCCUGUAGCUCAGUAGGUUGAGCCUGUGUCGCUGGUAGAGCCCCUGUAGCUCAGUAAGUAGAGCCUGUGUAGCUCAGUAGGUAGAGUCUGUGUCGCUGGUAGAGCCCCUGUAGCUCAGUAGGUAGAGCCUGUGUAGCUCAGUAGGUAGAGUCUGUGUAGCUCAGUAGGUAGAGUCUGUGUCGCUGGUAGAGCCCCUGUAGCUCAGUAGGUAGAGCCUGUGUAGCUCAGUAGGUAGAGUCUGUGUAGCUCAGUAGGUAGAGUCUGUG
ensembl:lncRNA